GGCCCCUGACGUGCGCGGGGCCCUCAGCUCCGGGGGUUUCAGGCACGACGCCCACUCGGGAACCGGGGGCUCGUCGUGGCCUCGAACCGGAGGCUUCGGGGCCACGGGGGGCGAAGGCUUCUUCUGGGGGUUGAAGGUGGCAGCCUCGGCCCCCAGGCCCAGGCUGUCGUCCUCCUCGGCCAGCGCCUCGCCCUGGCCGCCCUUCCUCUUCUGGACGUCGAUGCCCUGCACCAGGGACAGGAGCUCGGGGUUGGGCGCCACCUUGGGCUUCUCGGAGAAGCAUAUGGAUGAACAGCCCAUUUACACAGUCCAUUAAUACCGUGAGGGCAUUGUGAAUCAUAGUGUGGGACAGGAGAUGCGCACACACCCAGUCGAGGGGGAUGAAAGAGAGAGCCAUGCACAACAGCAGCGAUUCUGUCCGAAUCGGUCAUAGCGCCCACUGGGUCGCACGCAACUUCUUAAAGCAACAACGGGGUAGGACGAUCAGAGUUCGCUCUGUAUGUAUGUAUGUGUGUGUGUUCACCUGAACUUUGAUGUGCUUUCCGGUCUCCGCCCUCGUGUCACAGAAAGCUUACAGCGCACGGGAGCAGGCCGUUCGGCCUGGCCUGUCUGUGCCGGCUCUCCGAAAGAGCGCCUCACCCGGUUGCCCUUCUCCCCGUCACCCCUUACAUCCUCUUCAAAUUACUGUCCUCAUUCCUUCUCGAAAGCCUACAUUGAGCCUGCCUCCACCAGACUGUUAGGCAGUGCGCUCACCAAAUCCUAACUAUGAGACCCAGAAGAGGCAGGAACGAAGUAGGCCAUU